rnacentral:rRNA from 1 species
UUCCGGUUGAUCCCGCCGGAGGCUACUGCUAUUGGAAUUCGACUAAGCCAUGCGAGUCAAGGUGUCUUCGGACGCCGGCAAACGGCUCAGUAACACGUAGGUAAUCUACCCUCAGGACUGAGAUAACCCCGGGAAACUGGGGCUAAUACCAGAUAGAUAAAAGAUACUGGAAUGUUCUUUUAUCCAAAGCUUUUGUGCCUGAGGAUGAGCCUGCGCCCGAUUAGGUAGUUGGUGGGGUAAUGGCCCACCAAGCCUGCGAUCGGUACGGGCAGUGGGAGCUGUAGCCCGGAGUUGGGGACUGAGACAAGGCCCCAGGCCCCACGGGGCGCAGCAGGCGCGAAACCUCUGCAAUGCAGGAAACCGUGACAGGGGGAUUCCAAGUGCUCAUGCAUUGCAUGGGCUGUUCUUUGGUCUAAGUAACCAGAGGAGUAAGGGCUGGGCAAGACCGGUGCCAGCCGCCGCGGUAAUACCGGCAGCUCGAGUGGUAGCCGCGAUUAUUGGGCCUAAAACGUUCGUAGCCGGAUAAGUAAGUCUUUGGUUAAAUCCUACGACUUAACCGUGGGAAAUCUAGAGAUACUGCUUGUCUUGAGACCGGGAGAGGUUGGAGGUACUCCCAGGGUAGGGGUGAAAUCCUGUAAUCCUGGGGGGACCACCUGUGGCGAAGGCGUCCAACUGGAACGGCUCUGACGGUGAGGGACGAAACCUAGGGGAGCGAGCCGGAUUAGAUACCCGGGUAGUCCUAGGCGUAAAUGAUGCGAGUUAAGUGUGGGGGCAUCUACGAGAUGGCCCUGUGCUGUAGGGUAGCCGUUAAACUCGCUGCCUGGGGAGUACGGUCGCAAGGCUGAAACUUAAAGGAAUUGGCGGGGGAGCACCACAAGAGGUGGAGGCUGCGGUUCAAUUGGAUUCAACGCCGGG